AGAGUUUGAUCCUGGCUCAGGAUGAACGCUGGCGGCGUGCUUAACACAUGCAAGUCGAACGAACCUUCGGGUUAGUGGCGGACGGGUGAGUAACGCGUGAGAGUCUGCCCUCAGGAGGGGGAUAACGGCUGGAAACGGCCGCUAAUACCCCAUAUGCCGAGAGGUGAAAUGAAUUUCGCCUGAGGAUGAGCUCGCGUCUGAUUAGCUAGUUGGUGUGGUAAAGGCUCACCAAGGCAUCGAUCAGUAGCUGGUCUGAGAGGAUGAUCAGCCACACUGGGACUGAGACACGGCCCAGACUCCUACGGGAGGCAGCAGUGGGGAAUUUUCCGCAAUGGGCGCAAGCCUGACGGAGCAACGCCGCGUGAGGGAUGAAGGCCUCUGGGCUGUAAACCUCUUUUAUCAAGGAAGAAGAUCUGACGGUACUUGAUGAAUAAGCCACGGCUAAUUCCGUGCCAGCAGCCGCGGUAAUACGGGAGUGGCAAGCGUUAUCCGGAAUUAUUGGGCGUAAAGCGUCCGCAGGCGGUCUUGAAAGUCUGUUGUUAAAGCGUGGAGCUCAACUCCAUUUCAGCAAUGGAAACUAGAAGACUAGAGUGUGGUAGGGGCAGAGGGAAUUCCCGGUGUAGCGGUGAAAUGCGUAGAUAUCGGGAAGAACACCAGUGGCGAAGGCGCUCUGCUGGGCCAUAACUGACGCUCGUGGACGAAAGCCAGGGGAGCGGAAGGGAUUAGAUACCCCUGUAGUCCUGGCCGUAAACGAUGAACACUAGGUGUCGGGGGAAUCGACCCCCUCGGUGUCGUAGCCAACGCGUUAAGUGUUCCGCCUGGGGAGUACGCACGCAAGUGUGAAACUCAAAGGAAUUGACGGGGGCCCGCACAAGCGGUGGAGUAUGUGGUUUAAUUCGAUGCAACGCGAAGAACCUUACCAGGGUUUGACAUCCUGCGAAUCCCUUGGAAACUUGGGAGUGCCUUCGGGAGCGCAGUGACAGGUGGUGCAUGGCUGUCGUCAGCUCGUGUCGUGAGAUGUUGGGUUAAGUCCCGCAACGAGCGCAACCCACGUCUUUAGUUGCCAGCAUUAAGUUGGGCACUCUAGAGAGACUGCCGGUGAUAAACCGGAGGAAGGUGUGGAUGACGUCAAGUCAUCAUGCCCCUUACAUCCUGGGCUACACACGUACUACAAUGCUACGGACAAAGGGCAGCAAACUCGCGAGAGCUAGCAAAUCCCAUAAACCGUGGCUCAGUUCAGAUCGUAGGCUGCAACUCGCCUACGUGAAGGAGGAAUCGCUAGUAAUCGCAGGUCAGCAUGCUGCGGUGAAUACGUUCCCGGGCCUUGUACACACCGCCCGUCACACCAUGGAAGUUGGCCACGCCCGAAGUCGUUACUCCAACCCGCAAGGGAGGAGGAUGCCGAAGGUGGGGCUGAUGACUGGGGUGAAGUCGUAACAAGGUA
rnacentral:rRNA from 1 species